UACGAAGGGGCUAGCGUUGUUCGGAAUUACUGGGCGUAAAGCGCACGUAGGCGGACAUUUAAGUCAGGGGUGAAAUCCCGGGGCUCAACCCCGGAACUGCCUUUGAUACUGGGUGUCUUGAGUCCGGAAGAGGUGAGUGGAAUUGCGAGUGUAGAGGUGAAAUUCGUAGAUAUUCGCAAGAACACCAGUGGCGAAGGCGGCUCACUG
rnacentral:rRNA from 1 species